rnacentral:rRNA from 1 species
CCGAAUGGGGAAACCCAGUGUGUUUCGACACACUAUCAUUAACUGAAUCCAUAGGUUAAUGAGGCGAACCGGGGGAACUGAAACAUCUAAGUACCCCGAGGAAAAGAAAUCAACCGAGAUUCCCCCAGUAGCGGCGAGCGAACGGGGAGCAGCCCAGAGCCUGAAUCAGUGUGUGUGUUAGUGGAAGCGUCUGGAAAGGCGCGCGAUACAGGGUGACAGCCCCGUACACAAAAAUGCACAUGCUGUGAGCUCGAUGAGUAGGGCGGGACACGUGGUAUCCUGUCUGAAUAUGGGGGGACCAUCCUCCAAGGCUAAAUACUCCUGACUGACCGAUAGUGAACCAGUACCGUGAGGGAAAGGCGAAAAGAACCCCGGCGAGGGGAGUGAAAAAGAACCUGAAACCGUGUACGUACAAGCAGUGGGAGCACGCUUAGGCGUGUGACUGCGUACCUUUUGUAUAAUGGGUCAGCGACUUAUAUUCUGUAGCAAGGUUAACCGAAUAGGGGAGCCGAAGGGAAACCGAGUCUUAACUGGGCGUUAAGUUGCAGGGUAUAGACCCGAAACCCGGUGAUCUAGCCAUGGGCAGGUUGAAGGUUGGGUAACACUAACUGGAGGACCGAACCGACUAAUGUUGAAAAAUUAGCGGAUGACUUGUGGCUGGGGGUGAAAGGCCAAUCAAACCGGGAGAUAGCUGGUUCUCCCCGAAAGCUAUUUAGGUAGCGCCUCGUGAAUUCAUCUCCGGGGGUAGAGCACUGUUUCGGCAAGGGGGUCAUCCCGACUUACCAACCCGAUGCAAACUGCGAAUACCGGAGAAUGUUAUCACGGGAGACACACGGCGGGUGCUAACGUCCGUCGUGAAGAGGGAAACAACCCAGACCGCCAGCUAAGGUCCCAAAGUCAUGGUUAAGUGGGAAACGAUGUGGGAAGGCCCAGACAGCCAGGAUGUUGGCUUAGAAGCAGCCAUCAUUUAAAGAAAGCGUAAUAGCUCACUGGUCGAGUCGGCCUGCGCGGAAGAUGUAACGGGGCUAAACCAUGCACCGAAGCUGCGGCAGCGACACUAUGUGUUGUUGGGUAGGGGAGCGUUCUGUAAGCCUGUGAAGGUGUACUGUGAGGUAUGCUGGAGGUAUCAGAAGUGCGAAUGCUGACAUAAGUAACGAUAAAGCGGGUGAAAAGCCCGCUCGCCGGAAGACCAAGGGUUCCUGUCCAACGUUAAUCGGGGCAGGGUGAGUCGACCCCUAAGGCGAGGCCGAAAGGCGUAGUCGAUGGGAAACAGGUUAAUAUUCCUGUACUUGGUGUUACUGCGAAGGGGGGACGGAGAAGGCUAUGUUGGCCGGGCGACGGUUGUCCCGGUUUAAGCGUGUAGGCUGGUUUUCCAGGCAAAUCCGGAAAAUCAAGGCUGAGGCGUGAUGACGAGGCACUACGGUGCUGAAGCAACAAAUGCCCUGCUUCCAGGAAAAGCCUCUAAGCAUCAGGUAACAUCAAAUCGUACCCCAAACCGACACAGGUGGUCAGGUAGAGAAUACCAAGGCGCUUGAGAGAACUCGGGUGAAGGAACUAGGCAAAAUGGUGCCGUAACUUCGGGAGAAGGCACGCUGAUAUGUAGGUGAAGUCCCUCGCGGAUGGAGCUGAAAUCAGUCGAAGAUACCAGCUGGCUGCAACUGUUUAUUAAAAACACAGCACUGUGCAAACACGAAAGUGGACGUAUACGGUGUGACGCCUGCCCGGUGCCGGAAGGUUAAUUGAUGGGGUCAGCGCAAGCGAAGCUCUUGAUCGAAGCCCCGGUAAACGGCGGCCGUAACUAUAACGGUCCUAAGGUAGCGAAAUUCCUUGUCGGGUAAGUUCCGACCUGCACGAAUGGCGUAAUGAUGGCCAGGCUGUCUCCACCCGAGACUCAGUGAAAUUGAACUCGCUGUGAAGAUGCAGUGUACCCGCGGCAAGACGGAAAGACCCCGUGAACCUUUACUAUAGCUUGACACUGAACAUUGAGCCUUGAUGUGUAGGAUAGGUGGGAGGCUUUGAAGUGUGGACGCCAGUCUGCAUGGAGCCGACCUUGAAAUACCACCCUUUAAUGUUUGAUGUUCUAACGUGGACCCGUAAUCCGGGUUGCGGACAGUGUCUGGUGGGUAGUUUGACUGGGGCGGUCUCCUCCUAAAGAGUAACGGAGGAGCACGAAGGUUGGCUAAUCCUGGUCGGACAUCAGGAGGUUAGUGCAAUGGCAUAAGCCAGCUUGACUGCGAGCGUGACGGCGCGAGCAGGUGCGAAAGCAGGUCAUAGUGAUCCGGUGGUUCUGAAUGGAAGGGCCAUCGCUCAACGGAUAAAAGGUACUCCGGGGAUAACAGGCUGAUACCGCCCAAGAGUUCAUAUCGACGGCGGUGUUUGGCACCUCGAUGUCGGCUCAUCACAUCCUGGGGCUGAAGUAGGUCCCAAGGGUAUGGCUGUUCGCCAUUUAAAGUGGUACGCGAGCUGGGUUUAGAACGUCGUGAGACAGUUCGGUCCCUAUCUGCCGUGGGCGCUGGAGAACUGAGGGGGGCUGCUCCUAGUACGAGAGGACCGGAGUGGACGCAUCACUGGUGUUCGGGUUGUCAUGCCAAUGGCACUGCCCGGUAGCUAAAUGCGGAAGAGAUAAGUGCUGAAAGCAUCUAAGCACGAAACUUGCCCCGAGAUGAGUUCUCCCUGACUCCUUGAGAGUCCUGAAGGAACGUUGAAGACGACGACGUUGAUAGGCCGGGUGUGUAAGCGCAGCGAUGCGUUGAGCUAACCGGUACUAAUGAACCGUGAGGCUUAACCUUACAACGCCGAAG